rnacentral:lncRNA from 1 species
GGAAAAUUGGGAAGUUGGGAUCUCAAAGUACGGUAAGAGCAUGAACUUUUUACAAGCUUUUUGCACUUAAUUGACAGUAAAUGUAAUUACAAACUAAUUUUGCUGCGAUUUAUUUGUAGUUUUGUUAAUUAAUAGGAACCUUGGUUAUCAUGCCAGUACAAUAGUGCAUUAACCGAUUAACUGAGUAGUCGAAUAUCUCAAUAUUUAUGAAAUUUACUACCUGACGUGGAAACAUAAAUUAUUGUUAAUUAUUACCACUGAGCUGUAUAAUACUGAUAUUUUUCUGUGUUGGACUGUUGGUGGUAAUAUACUCAGUGAAUAUGAUACUUGUGAUGUUACUCUGAAGCCUCGUUUACAUUACGCUCAAUUUUUGAUACGGCACGGAUAAAAUUGGUACCCGUACCACUUUUUUGGUUCUUGGACAGUUGAACAACCUAUUUGGGUAGUCCAAGAACCAAAAAGUGGUAUGGUACCAAAAAUUGAGCGUAGUGUAAACGGGGCUUAGCUAAAUAGGUAGUCCAAGAACCAAAAAAGUGGUACGGGUACCAAUUUUAUCCGUGCCGUACCAAACAUUGAGCGUAGUGUAAACGGGGCUUGAGUGUGUAUCCAGUAUCCACACCGGGCAAGCUUGAAAAAUAUGCUUGGCCACGGUGGGAAUCGAACCUACGCGGUCAGGUCGUAGCUCAGUUGGCAGAGCAUUGGGUUAGUAUUCCAAAGGUCAUAGGUUCGAUUCCCACCGUGGCCAGACAUAUUUUUCAAGCUUGCCCGGUGUGGAUACCCACUCAGAGUAACAUUACAAGCAUCAUAAAUUAUUCUGUUAAAGGUCUUAAAGCAUUUGCCCAUUCUCGUACCCCUCGUCGCGCUCCGUUGACCGCGCGUAAGAAGGGCUCUGGGUACGAGAAUGAAGCCAAUCUUGAAGGCCAGUCCCAGUCUUUUCACGCUUGCGAAGAGCGUUCAAUCAGUCAAUAGUCAAUCAGUAGUAUAAAUACGUGUGUCUUGGUCUUGACCCCGAGAACACGCAGGCAGUUUGUCUGAAGGUAGCGUUCCAGUUGUACUUCAUUUUAAUGAGCAUUGUCCCAUUACUAUUAACUCUAUUUCCAGUGAUAUGUUGCACGGUUUUGGCAUUGGAUCAUGCGAUUCAUGCCAUUUUUUUUUCAAACAUGUUCUGGUUUUUAAUAAAUUACUAAAUAUGAAACUGGCAUCUGAUUGGCCACAAUAAAGGUUAUUUUUCUAAUAUCACCGGAUAUAUUCUAUGACCAUGCUUUUAUGGUAUCGAUCCGGUUAUGGAUUUGGCCAGAGCCCCUCGUCGCGCUCGGUUGACCGCGCGUAAGAAGGGCUCUGGGUACGAGAAGGCAAAACGGCCGUAUUUUCAAGAAACUCGCCCCAGUCUCCACGGAAUCAGUUGUCACUGCUAUAUCUCACAAAACAUCUCACAACUAUAUAUAUGGCUGACUCGUACCCAGUCGUCAAUUAUGGGUACAUACUACAUGCACAGAUAAGUGCCUUGAUCAUUCCCAUCAUGCACCAUUAUUUUUUCAGUCCUCAUUUUCAGGGACUAGGUACGAGUCAGACUAAUUUUUGCUGCAUAUAUAUUUUUUAGAUUCAGAUUUCAGAUUUAUUUUAUUAAACAGAAAUCAGAGGCAUGUAUGACUUGAUUAAACGUCAUAAAAUAGUUCGUUGAAAACGGAGUUGGCAGAUUAUGCGACCUUCGUUAGCUGUUCUUAAUGCUUUCCCAACACUAUCAUACAUUAUAUUUAAGUUAAAUUACGUAGUUGGGUUGGAGCUUGAAAUGUCCCCUACGAAAAGCUAGUCGUGAUUUUCAACUCUCGUCUGAAAUGUUAUCCUCAUUUGAUCGGAGCUUAAGUAACGAUUAAAUCCACUAGGGCGACUGCAAUGGCUACGGUAAACAACUGUUAAUUUUUAACGUCCUUUGAUUUUGUCCUAAAUAAUCCACUUUACCUUUUAAAUAGGAAAAUGAACAACUUCGGUGUGUGAUAAUUCGAGUACUUAUACGUACCAGAGGUACGCCAUUAUCACGUUUUACGUAGGUACACGGAACUGUUGCUAUCUGUGUACUUACUUCUUGCUGGUACCAUAUGCGACAUAUGACCUUUCCAAGUCCAAGGUAUUCAAUGGCCAUAAUUCACAUAAUUUAGUUGGUAUAUGUGCAAGUCUGAUAUGUCUUGGCAUGAAACAUAUGAUUGCACUAAUGGGACUGAGGAAUGUUGGAGUCAAUUGUAGUAUUUGUAUACAUACAAUUGUGCUAGUUGUUCUAACACGUAGAUUGAAUACCUUUCAGAAACCUGUACUUUAUGUACUUUAUUUUAAAGACCAAGCACACGUUGAGUAUUGAGUUUGUACCAGCGCAAUUACUUGGCAAUGAUCAUUGGAGUACCAGUCAGGUACGCGGACUAAAAAUCUUGAAUUAUCGUACCCUGAUCUUACCUUAAGACGUGGCAACAGACAAGAUAACACCAGACGUUCGUCGUUAUUAGACAUAAUGUUUCAUUUUCUCAUUCACUGUAAAGAUGAAAGUUAGCCACACUGUUCACAUCAGUGGUAAUACUUUUCCCAAACACCUCAGCAAUACCAUGGACCACUAUAAUUCUAACAGCUGUAUAAAGACCAAAUGACCAAUGAAAAUAUGUUGACUUGUAAAUUCAAUCAGAAUCAUUCGCACAACUUUAUACAACAAAGGUGCUCAGUGAGACAUUUGUACAUACAGUAAUUACCAUGCAAAUUUCUCAUAUAACUAUUAAAAUAAUUAGUGAAGCGUAGCGCGCAUAGCUAGCGCAGUGAACUCAAUUUAUUUGAGUUCACUGAGCUAGCCUUGACUUCAUCACUUUGAUUUCUUCUAAAUUUAAUUUAGUCUUGUGUUAUGUUGUUUGUUUUCAAAAGAAUGAAGUCGGGACUGUGCGUGUGUAAUGCGACGUUCCAGUAAUUCUGCAAAAUCUAAUGUUAAAAUAAAAACCGAAAUGAAAUGAAUUUACCUAUUUUUUAGGUUAAAAAGGUGUGGUAAUAAAAAUUUAGCUUGUCCCAUUUGCAAGAACAUUUAAUAUUAUAUGGAAAACUUUUUACAGCUUCUUCAAUUGCUUAGUUCUCAAAAUACUUGGACCAAAAUCAUCAUAAAUAGCAAUGAAUGAGCGGUCGGCCAUCUUGGAUUAUUGUGGAUAAUAAAUGUUACGUCACAAGCAGGGAUCUGAACCCGAAAAGACCAAAAUUAUACUUCGGUCACCAUUUCAAGUAAAAUGUGACUGACAACGUUUCUAUUAAGCAUCUACUAACUGUUAUUUAGUCGCAUAGAAGUAGUUUUAUAUGACUAUUAACCGUUGCUUGACACACCAAAACCACAAUCUUGUACCCAGAGUAUGCCCGUUCGCAGGUUAGGUGUUGGGCCAUGCCCUGCAGUAGCCCACUACGUUAUUCAACAUUGACAUUGUCUUUUAAUAUAGCAGAAAACGAUAUUUAAAAACAUUGUCAUUGUCUUUAUAGCCGACUAUGUGAAUCAAAGCGCGUUAAUUAUUUAAUAAUACAUGUUUAUUUUCCUGUUUAUGACUAACUUGUUUAUGUCUGACUUGUUUUUUACUAACACAAAAGAUCGUCCAUGUAUUAGCCCCCCCCCCCCGUAUAUAAGCCCCCCCCCUUGUAUAAGCCCAUCAAAAAUCGCUUACGAAAGUAUAUAAGCCCAGGGCUUAUAGUCGGAGGUUUACGGUAAUCAUAUAGAGGCGGGCAAAUAUGAUUGGCUAAUGAUGAGGGUAUUGGUCAAAAUUACGUGUACCUGAUUGGCUGAGUGACGGAAGCGCGGAAAGUUUCUUGUUUUAAAUAGCAAUAAAAACAAUGGCUUCUCGCUUUGUCGUUGCAGAUAAUGAUGUUAUUGAAGAAUUAGAAACUUCUAUAGUGAAAACUGGAACAUUAGAAAAUGAACAAAUUUAUAGGUUGGAGUAUUUAAGAAAUGGGCAGCAGUAAGGAACAUCGGCGAAGACAUGGAGACAUACGAGGUUCAAGAACUUGACAAAGUUCACAAUUUACGAAUUAAUAAAUUGUACAAGAAAACACAAAAGAAAUCUUGACCGUGUAGGAGUUUGUAUAUCUGAUACAAAAUCAUCCUGAUUUACAUAAACUUUAAAAUUUAUUUCUCACCAGAUAUCAUUCAUUAAUUCAGUACGUUGUGGAAGAAUACGAAUGUUCUCAUGAAGAGUCAAGACGUUACACAACCAUUUACAAUAUUCGCGUCCGUUAACAUAUAUAGUUCGAGCUUUUAUUUUAAUUAAUUGAUUAAUAAUAUUGUACAAUCGGUAGUGAAGAAAUGAAGAGCCACUCUGACUCUAUGGAUACGAUGUAAUUCAUUGAGUCAUUAUUAUAUUAUUAUUAUCCAUCAAGAAAAUUCAAAAGAAAUCAAUGGUAUCCACAUAUUAAAAAUAGCUGAUUUGCAUAAACUGCUUCUUCCUCGA